GGAGGUUGUUGGUUGUGGGUGGGGUGGAAAGAUUUGAUAAAUCUAUUUUUUUUUCUAGUUGAAAAAAAAAAUGGAAAAGAGACUAAAUCUUUCCUACUCCUCCCAUACCCAUGACUUCC
rnacentral:miRNA from 1 species